GAUGAACGCUGGCGGCGUGCUUAACACAUGCAAGUCGAACGGAAAGGCUUUUUUUUUUUGUGGUGCUCGAGUGGCGAACGGGUGAGUCACACGUGUGUAACCUGCCUUUGAUUUUGGGAUAACUUCAGGAAACCGGCGCUAAUACCGGAUAGGAGCUCCUGCUGCAUGGUGGGGGUUGGAAAGUUUCGGCGGUUGGGGGUUGGCUCGCGGCUUAUCUGCUUGUUGGUGGAGGAGUGGCCUACCAUGGCUUUGACGGGUAGCCGGCCUGAGCGGGUGAACGGCCACAUUGGGACUGAGAUACGGCCCAGACUCCUAGGCGAGGCAGCAGUGGAAAACAUGACACAGUGAGCGGAAGCCUGAUGCAGCAACCCCGCGAGCGGAAAAACGACCUUCGGGUUGUGAACCGCUUUCGCCUGAGACGAAGCGUGAAUGACGGUAAUGGGUGAAGAAGCACCGGCUAACUACGUG
rnacentral:rRNA from 1 species